rnacentral:rRNA from 1 species
GAUGAACGCUAGCUACAGGCUUAACACAUGCAAGUCGAGGGGAAACGACAUCGAAAGCUUGCUUUUGGUGGGCGUCGACCGGCGCACGGGUGAGUAACGCGUAUCCAACCUGCCCACCACUUGGGGAUAACCUUGCGAAAGUAAGACUAAUACCCAAUGAUAUCCCACGAAGGCAUCCGAAUGGGAUUAAAGAUUUUAUCGGUGAUGGAUGGGGAUGCGUCUGAUUAGCUUGUUGGCGGGGUAACGGCCCACCAAGGCAACGAUCAGUAGGGGUUCUGAGAGGAAGGUCCCCCACAUUGGAACUGAGACACGGUCCAAACUCCUACGGGAGGCAGCAGUGAGGAAUAUUGGUCAAUGGGCGAGAGCCUGAACCAGCCAAGUAGCGUGCAGGACGACGGCCCUAUGGGUUGUAAACUGCUUUUAUAAGGGAAUAAAGUGGGGUCACGUGUGACUUUUUGCAUGUACCUUAUGAAUAAGGACCGGCUAAUUCCGUG